GGCGAACGGGUGAGUAACACGUGAGUAACCUGCCCUUGACUUUGGGAUAACUUCAGGAAACUGGGGCUAAUACCGGAUAGGAGCUCCUGCUGCAUGGUGGGGGUUGGGAAAGUUUCGGCGGUUGGGGAUGGACUCGCGGCUUAUCAGCUUGUUGGUGGGGUAGUGGCUUACCAAGGCUUUGACGGGUAGCCGGCCUGAGAGGGUGACCGACCACAUUGGGACUGAGAUACGGCCCAG
rnacentral:rRNA from 1 species